rnacentral:rRNA from 1 species
UACGUAGGGGGCAAGCGUUGUCCGGAAUCAUUGGGCGUAAAGCGCGUGUAGGCGGCCAGAAAAGUCCGCUGUGAAAACUCGAGGCUCAACUUCGAGCUGUCGGUGGAAACUUUCUGGCUAGAGUCCGGAAGAGGAGAAUGGAAUUCCUGGUGUAGCGGUGAAAUGCGCAGAUAUCAGGAAGAACACCCCGUGGCGAAGGCGGUUCUCUGGGACGGUACUGACGCUGAGACGCGAAAGCGUGGGGGAGCGAACAGG